AAGAAGAUAGAUGGGCCACGGCGAGCCUUUGGUGUAGCAACACAAAGGUGUCAUUACUUCAGUUGAGUACGUGUGCAGAAGGCUAAACUACCAUUUGCGUAAAACACCCAUCGUGUAAUCUCUUCAGAGCGUGGGGCCGAAUGCUACCUUAUCUUAUCUGUUUGUACUUAAUACGGUUUACACUUUUGUGCGCUGCACGUUUGGUGUUGCGAAACAGGAGGUGUUCAGUACUUCGAUUCGGACAAAUUAUUUAUUGAUACACUUUACAGUACAGUACAAUAUAGAAACUUUAACUUUCUCUAAGCAAUAUUAAAACUCAGAACUGGAUUGGAGCUGCAAAUGAUAUGGAAUAAUUCAAUUGAAUUUUAAAAAUGCUUUAUUCAUUGCACGUUACUGUUCUUCACAUGUUCUUUCAUAGAACUGUAACGCCCUCAUUCAAUGUGACUACAGUAGACGUUCGGUCGGUGCAAACGGUUUAACUGCAAUGCUUUUUAACUGCAAGUCCGGUAAGUGCAACAAAUUUGCAGUUAUCGCACCGCCAAACGUCAAAAUGGUGCGCCAUGUUAGCCCUAAUGAACAGUCGAAUGAAUUUUUUGUUCAUUUUACGUCAAUUGACGGCUUGUUGACACUGUCAGGCGUUGCAGUUAUCGAAUUUUCGUUCGCUAAGUGAAACGUAAACAUGUUGCAGUUAUUGAACGUCUACUGUACUUCGACGAAAAUAUCUCAAGUUUGAAGAUUCAAUCAAUGAAGAUUAGUAUGGGAUCCUGGGGCUUCAAGGUAAAAGUACACUCGUUACAGUGUGUGGAGAUAAUAACAAAGAACGACCUUACCAAUAUAAUUUUCAGUUAUUUGUUCGCCAAGAUUUUAGUACUAUGUAUUUGAUCGGCGAUUAUUGCCAAAUUGCCAAAAAAAUCUCACAUUUUUGUUCUGAUGGUGUAUACGGGCUUGAUACGCGCAUGUUAGUAAUUGGAGUAAAAUAUAAGGGAAAUAUAGAUAUAUAUUCAAAUAACUGUAGCGUGUGAUUCCUUAAACGAAAUGCCGUCCAAUUUGUAGAAACUAUGCUUGAAUAUCAUACAUUUUGGUUAGUAUUUGAAAAACAAAUAUAUAGGUAUUUGUUGAAAAAAUAAAUGGCCUUAGAACUACGGUACGCGCAUUUUUACUCAUUCAAGAAAAUCAUUUUUUUUAUCUGUAUUAACGAGAUUUUUAGCCCUAGGCUAGUUCAUCUCGGGACCCAUGCUUUACUUCCUUUCCGAAGGAAGAACUCACAUUCCCAGGUCCUCGGCGUGAUAGUCACGUGUUUUAACCAUCACACCAGGUCCGCUUUACAAGAAAAUCCUAUAAAAAUAACGCAAUAUGUUAAAAUUAUCAUAAACUUCAGUUUUUCUCGAUGAAACAUUUUUUAAAUUUCAGAGUAGAUACUAGAACAGUAUAUCUUUCGAAUAACGGGUGCCAUUUUGUUGGACAUUUUUGUUUGUUAAUAAUUGUUUCUGUCACACCGUGCAACAGUAUAAAAAUAUUGCCUAGGAUGAGUUGAAAUUAUUUGCCGAAUACAUCAAAGUACCUAAUCUGACACUUGCGCAAAUGUUAUAACUAAAAACCGUAUGAAAGUCUAGAUUGAGUUUAAAUAAGAAGUAAUUCUCGCUGAGACCGGCCCACUAUUUACACCUUGGCUUCAAAAAUCAGGCCAAACAUGUCUAAAGGUCCUAUCUGCAGAAAAGAGGCUCUCUUUUGUUAAAAUCACUGCUGUUUAUUUGAAUUAUGAUUGUCUCCUUGCAUUAAACGAUGAUCAAAACAAUCGUCUUUUGAUUUGUACUGUAAAAAUAGUUGAAAAGUGUACCAUUACAUUGCAAUAAUUGAAAGAGAAAGUGAACAAAGAGCGCCUCUCAAAUGCAGAUAGGACCUAUUGAAAUGUUUGGCCUGUAAUGUUUAAGGUGCCGAUUUUUUGAAAGUCCUCGCUAAAAAAAGUAAGGAAAAUGCAUUUGGUUACUCAAAUAGUUAGAGUCACAACAAUUUUUGCAGACCCCAGAUUUUAGUCAAAUGUUGGCUCAUUGAAACCGUUAUAACUCGAAAGUUUUUCCAAAAAUCAUCUCUAAACGAAUUACUGUUGAAAAGAAGAAAGAUAGAGCUACUAUUUACAAUAAUAAAAAAUUGGGUCGGCCAUAUUGGUUUUGGCCGCUAUCUUGGAUUUUUACACCAAUACAUUUUUUUCACCAUGAUGGCAACCACCGAUUUUCAAAUUUUUUUCAUCAAUUGAAAGCUGAGACAUUUAUACAUAACUAACAUAUCAAAAAAAUAGAGAUAUAUAUUUUUUUCUAUCAAAAGUUAUCUGCAGUUUGAGUUCCUUAUGAUUGAUUAUCUUUUUAUACAGGGUCUGUACAAAAAAUAAUUAGUAUCAAAGUAAAUCAAACAAACUUGUUCAAACCCCGUUUUUGUGCGAUGCUUUGUGUGGGCCUAGCCACAGUGCACACCUAUAGACUUCUAACGGCGAAAUCAAGUCGAACAGCAGCACAGCAAUCCGGGUCCACCGGAUGAGGAUUUACAAAGCGGGGGCAAGCUAAAAAUAUAAUUUUCGUAAUACAUGAUUAAAAUUCUCGCUUGAUCGAAUCCAUGCUGUGCCGGGAUAUAAAGUAAUAUCGUUCGGAAAGAAGGCAAAUACAAACACAUCGUUUUGAUCGCAGCAACCUUUGCUUGUUCUAUGAGGCGCCGCGUCGCGUCACCGCUGCGCUGCUGUCGAACCGCGUUGCCAUAGCACUGCGAGCUGUUGGACCAAGUUCUAGUAGGUUACUCUGUCGUCGUGGGACAACAAGAUCGCGCUGAGCGUGAGUGUAGUGUCCGUGAAAUCUAUCCCACACGUAAAUUGUUCGAAAAUAACAAACGGUUCAAACCAUAUGUGGGAUAUCGGGGCCCAUCUGCCCGCUCUAAAUGGAAGGGUCAAGUGGCAAAAUGGUCUUGAGCAGCACAGGAAUUAGAACACCGCCACAGUUGAGUCUGAGUUGUUCAGACUUCUCAAGACUUGUAAGACUCCACACUUGUAGUAGCAGGUUUUCUGCACCCUUCGUUACAACUGUACGGCCCCUACUAUACUAAUGUAAUUUCGCACAACACAUCAAUAAGUGGAAGAUGACGGUGGCCUCUGUACAUGCGCGAUCGCUGCGCCACCGUUUUGUUGUCCAAUGGACGACUGCAAUGGUGCAACAGGCAACCCACACACACAGCAUUCCGGUCGCUGCGCUGCGCGACAACUGCAAUGUACGAUGCAACGGUGUGGCUGUCUAAAGGCGUUUGUCGAAAGGGUUGUGCGAGUGGAUACUAAUUGAUUAUUGACUUCAUUUUAUCACACAUGACACGUACUUCGCAUUCCUCAGACGAACUUUACAUGCCCCGAUGAAUUGAGGGCAGAUGGAACGUUUCUAUCGUUCAAAUUUAUAUGACAUAGUUCCUUCAGAAUCAUCAAAUAAAUGUACUGUAUUGUUUCCGAACACAAUGGUAUUAAUCUUAUCAAAAUCAUCAUAAACAACUCCAUAGAGUAGCGCUUCACCUCGCCACAUCAAAGAAGGCGUUGGUAUUCAAAUAAAAAAAAAUGUACAUAUUAAGCAUGCACAAUACAAAACAACAAUUUUAUAUCCACGUUUAUAACUCAUAAAAAAACUAAACGUGAGUUUGACAAAUCAAUAUAAUGAUUACGAUUGUAAAUUGUACAUUAUUUACAUAUAUAAGUAUAUGAUCGAUGUCUAGUGCAGAAUAGGUAAUCUAGUUCUUCCACAAAUUGUCACGCAUUCCUUUCAAAAUAUGUCUACCUGGAACCCGGUUUCUGGUGGCAUCUGCGUACACAACAUUAUCUCUGAGUCAUCGCACAAAAGGGACACGGUAUGCCAUUGAAACUAGCAUCGAUGAAAUCACUGUUAGUUAGACCGGAUAACAGUCUGACGUCAUCCUGUUGUUCCUUUGACUCGACAUUCCCCACUACGUAUGUAGCAUUCAAAUUUCGUAAAAAAAAACACCAAACCAGUUAUGUGCGAUAGCAACAUAUUCAUAUUUGCUUAAUGUAACCCGCAUUUCCCCAACGAAGUCUACAAUAACUUUUAAAAUCAAUAUUUCGAUCAUAAAUCUCAAUUAGCACAUGGUGCGGGUAUCAGUAGGCGGCUAGUACUUACAGUGGAGUGUUGCUAUUGUAACCAACCACACUCUGCCCGGAUAACCUGAUGCAGUUUAUUUUACAUAUGCAGCAGCAGCACAUAGGGAAAUUAUCGAAGAAAAGGGUGAUAUUCAUCCGCACAACCGUAAUGAAGGUCAAUGCCCAAAAUUGGUCGCAUGCAAGACGCGGCGUUUCGACGCCGCCAACUGCGUUCUCGGCGGAUUGUACAGUCUCGGUCAAACAUUUUAAAAUAUGCCGAAUGAGUUUAUGUUGUCGGUAUGCGAGAGAGAGAGAGGCGACACAUCUUAAUUUGAAAUAAUCCUAAUCUCGUGAAAAGGCUCGCAGCAGGCUGUGCGCACGAGUGACUGCGUUCGCAAAACCGUCUGUCACGCACGGUAAAAAUUCUGCACGCUAGAUGUGAGGGAAAAAUCCCUUAACUAUUCAAUGUCGUGCGCGUUUUCUCUGUUGCGUGGUGUUUUGAAUAUGACCAGUCGAAUUGAGAAACGACUGGUGGCGCAAUGCCAUCAAUGCCGAAAAGUGUUUGCAAAGUAAUCGAUAGUGUUCAUCACAUUUUGUUUUAUUUGACGAUUGUAGCAGAUCACGUAGUGUUGAAUAGGAUAAUGCGUAAGAGAUUUAUUCUCUUUCUGCGUGCCAAAUUCGUCUUUAUACUAUUUUCGUGAGGUUUUUGGCAAUUCUUCAGAAAGAAAUCAACAAUUUCGUCUAGAUAAUACAGAAAUUCGUAUAAUCAUGAUAUGAAGGAUUCAGAGCUUUGUAUUACUCUCUUAGGCAUCCUACCCCAUUCCCAGCUGUCGCAAGAGUGUGAUUGCUUUAAUUUUGUGUUAGAGUCAGAUAGGGAAGUGGAACCAUCUCGGCAGGGGUCCUAUUUUGGGCACUUUUCUGCUAUGACUCAGCCAAUUUUGAACCAAUUGACACAACUGUUGGAAGACGGUGAGAUACGUAUAGUGUCUAGCCGUGUUCAAAAUUUCAUGUCUAUUGGUUUGGAAUUGACUGGGUUAUAGCGAAAAGUGACCAAAAUACCGGCCACUGCCCAAAUAGAUCGCUAACCUAAUUGUCCUAAAUGUAGAGUAAAAUAAAUUCAUUUCUAUUUUCUGGAAUAGCUGUCCUUGUAAAAGGAUGGCAAUCCUCAUAGAGUAACUUACACCUUGCUGUUUGUAAGAACAGGCAGCACCCUAUGAUUGUUGACUCACGGUUCUUGUACUUUCUUUGUCAAACCUUUACAAAAGUACACCUGAUACUCCUCUUGCAUGCUGUAGAUUUACCUGAACAAUUUUAAUACUGCAUAUUGUGAUGCCGAUCCGCUCGUUUGUGACUGGUGGCUCAUCGGCUUCGUUUGUGCCUUUUGUGACUUUUUUUACAUUCCUGGGACCGUCUGUAUUUCCAGUAAUUUACUGUCAGUUGUUGCACUGUGAGAACAAGCUCAACAUCUUUCCCAUUAGAGGAAGAUCUUUACAUAACUCUCUAGGAGUGUCCAAUUCAUUUUGUAACUCAAUAAAUGCCACUAUUUUCUCGUUGCUUCCUGUGGCGCUUUUUGGCUUGUAAGCUAUUAAGAUUUCCAUUAUUGAACUAUUAUUUCUGUUCAUCGCCAUCAACUCACAUGCCCGUAUGUAGGGAGUUAUCUUUUUAACCGGUCCGAUGUAGCCGAUGUGGCAGUUUUUUUUAUUCUUCAAUCACUUAACCUAAUUUACAGCUCUAUUGUCCACUAGGGCACUGCGUGAGCGUUUCCAAUUGGAAGCUGUACAUACACUUUGUACAGCGCCUAAAUGUAUUCUAUUUCUAAUUGUACUACAUCGAACUGGUGGCCGUUGCGCUGCUUUCACUUUCUACCCUAUCAUGGUAGAAUGAUGAGCUCGAGAAUGUUGUUGUGUGGCUGUUGGUUGCUCAUGUUUCCAGUCCGAUUGGGGGUCCAUUAUGGGUUGCCGUUCGCCGAUGUCCAAGUAUCCGGGUUCAUUUGAGCCAUGGGCUCAGAAGAGGGCCAGUGUCAGCUGCUCUCAGGGGAAAAGAGCAACUGACGAAAGUGCCGGGGCUAGGAUCGAACCCAUGACCAUCUGCUUAUGAAGCAAACGUGUAACCACUACGCCACAGGCCCCAGCGGUCAUGACAGUUGAUAAGCAGGAAGCCUCUGAAUUUUUUUUUGUAUAUCUGUUCCCCGAUUAAAUAGACAAUUCACCGUCUUCGACCUUGCGGCCUCUACAGACUGAACAUUACAAACAUUGGACAACGGACAAUACAUAUAACACCCAGUGACCCAGUGGAGAAUUUUACGUUCGACAAAAAGUUUUCCCCGACUGGAGCGGGAAUCGAACCCACACUUCGAGGCUUACGAGACACCUAAACGACUGACAACGGACAAUACAUAUAACACCCAGUGACACAGUGGAGAAUUUUCCGUUCGACGAAAAGUUUUCCCCGACUGGAGCGGGAAUCGAACCCACACUUCGAGGCUUACGAGACACCUAAACGACUGACGCCGCUAACCGCUCGGCCACGAGGAAUCUCGAAUCAGUUUUAACUGUUGUUCUUUGGUUGUUUUGCUAGAGUUGCACUCGGAUAGUCCUUUGCUCAUAUUCCUAUACGUACUUGACUCAGAACUUACUUGAAUGGCGGAUUCUGAGUAGUAAUGGGCUUUGUCUUUCUAUGUGGGACUUUCAGAUCUCCAGAUUGAUUGCUCUCAGCUUCUGCUACUGCCAUCUUAUCAGGAGUGUUUUAGGUGAUCCUUGCGUGACCUUCUCAUGCGUGUUGCUAUUCUUUUUUUAGGUUAUGCCUUUUCACCACUCAGUAGGUCUUCUCUAAGCCCCUUAGAUGCUUCUGACUGCACACUGGGCUUACAGGCAAGGCGAUACACCUCGUCUUUAUCAUAGAACUGAUCUAGCAAUUUUUUUUCAGUUGCUUUUUACUGGUAUCGCUCAACUUCAGUCGGUCCACUUGCUGAGAUUUUCUCGGAUUUACAACAGGUAAUCCGUAUGAUGUCUUAAUAGUGACGCUUACUCGAUCGUCCUCGUCUCCUAUCGCAGUGUUAUUUGGAGUGUCCAAAUUAAUGAAUGGACAAUUGGGCAUUGAUUUGAUAUUUACCUGGGCUUCAACAUGGUUGUCCGUGAGAGACUUUACUUUGUCGUUCCCUCGUCAGACCCACGCAGAUAGUUGUCCGCGAAGGACUUCAUUUUGUCAUGCCUUCACCGCACAAACAGGACUGCGUGUUAUGUUGGUAAAUCUAGUCGUAGUAGGGACACUUAUAACCUUAUACGGAUGGAUUCCCUCGUGUGUCAUUUGGUAGAACUUGCGAGCUGAGUCCGCUCCAAAGGCUUCGUCACACUACUUGUUGCAUUUGUAGGGGUUUUCUUUGGCAGAAUGCCGGAGUGGCAGGGAUGGGAACACUUACUUGCAAAGAGCUACACUCACUUGCUGUUAUCUCAUCUCAGAAGUGUGCUAUCAAGAAACGGUGUAUGGACGACUUUUGCCUUGUGGUUUUGUCUAAAAAUUUGCCAAAUAAAGAAGGGGUCAUACACGUACACCAAAGUCGUGACAGAGCUAUAGAAGCGACUCUACACGAGGUGAGUGUAAUUUACCCCGUGGAUAGUCGCCUUCGGAAAACUGUUUUCGAAAAACUUUUAGACAACACCACAAGGCUUAAAGUCGUCAAUACACUGUUCCUUGAUAGCACGAUUUUUAAUUGAGAAAACUGCAAGUGAGUGUAACUCACUCAAUGUUCCCAUCCCUGCCACUCCGGCAUUCAGCCAAAGAAAAACCCUACAAAUGCAACAAGCGCGUGUUCUCAUCCUUGUUCUCAUCCUUGCGGGGUAGAUGAAGUGGGCUUUCAAUUUGAAGCUAGCGGAACAUAGUUCACAUUCGAAUGGACACUCGUCGGAAUGUGAAACCAGGUAAAUGCACAGGUCAUACUUUCCUGCAUCAAUCUAAUUCAAUAUCGUCACCGAAGAGAUAACAUUUUCGUCUGAAACUUCCCCAUAUUCUUCAUCUUCGAUUUGUGGCGUACUCGUUUGUUAACAGUUCAAGUAAUGAAUUGAAUCAUAUCUUCAACCUAUUUGAUGAACACUUACCACAGAGUAAAAAAAAUCUAUUGUAAACCGUCGCCACCAGGUACACUCCAAGUCCUAGGCAUUAAAGGCUAUGCCCAAAAGUGUCAAUCUAUUUUUUAGGCCCGACCAAACGCUUUCAACCGGCGGUGUACGUACACAGAACAACAUGCAAGUGCAUAUUGGCGUCACAGUAACGAGUUUUUCUCCGCCAUGCAUGUGGUAACUAUAUAGCAGACAGGUAGCAUUUGUCCGCGUUAUAUCGGUUUACAUCAUUGUCCUUUCAACACCUUUUUCACGAUCACGAGUGGACCGUGCAUUCCAUUCAGUUUAUCGUGCCGCCCGCGUUAUCUUCUUAAGUGCAGCUUAACUGGUGUCUAGGCAGCGUGUACGUACACAGUACAAUGUGGACAGAAUUCUAUACCACAUCGCUUUGACGCUAGGCUAAUACAGAGCAAACAGAUGUGUAGAUGAACAUAAAUUUCAAAACCAGUCGUAUAAACCAAUGCCAUUAGAAAGAUUCACUCCCUCUUUUCCUGGCUGUAAAUAAUUUUCAAUGAAUGCUUUCGACUGGCGAAAGUGUAUAGGCAGGCAGCUGUCGGGCAUCUUUUGUUGUAAGCAUUCCUGGUGAAAUCUGCAGGAUCUACAUAUGGGAUGGAAUAGGGGGAGUUAACAGCCAGAACGAAGCACGCUCCCGUAUGGUGCGAAAUGCUAACGUUCGUAAAUAUAAAUAGAUCGCAAAAUUACUACCGUCUCGCAACCUCAUUGUCACAACUUUGUAGACGUACAUACCUACUUCUAAAUGUUUAUCCUUUCAGUUUGAUCUGAGCAUUGUUCAGCAUAAAUGUCUUGUGCUAUGCUACCGUAUACAGAACAGCUUAUGUAUAGUACCAUAAUGAGUUGAGUUUACGGAACGAGCGAAAUAUGCAAUCAUCAAAUAGUCGCUGGGGUUUGCGCGCGAUUUCUCAUCACUCACAUCUGACGAUUAUUUCCGGUGUUAUUAAUAGGUGGAGCGUGGUUUGUGUGUUUUGACUGAGGUGUGGAAAUAGAGUCAGGCAACAGAAACUUGAGAAAAAAAAAUAAUUGAAACUAUUGACGCGGGUCCAAAAUUUAAAUGUAAAAGUGGGGGCAGAACACGAAGAGUUUUAUAUUUUCAAUUGAAAAUGAAUUUCGCAGUGCUAUGCUAUGAACGGUUUUCAAAUUUCAUAUUUCAAAACAAAACUAACUUGUCAUUGAAAUAACUUUUUGUUGUAAUAAAUUUUCUGCGACCUGUACUGCCGUUCUACGUAUAUUUGUCCCAUGUUAUAUUGGAUUUCCAUAUAACAUGGAACAAUUGGGCGUAGAACGGCAGUGUAUGUCCUAUGAAGUAGCGGAAGAAAGAGGUCAUAUGCCCAUCUACAAGAAAGGUGACAGGUGUGAGAACUUCCAAGCGAUCACAAUUCUAAAUGCCGCCUAUAAAGUGCCUAUAAAGUGCGUUGUGUUUCACCUAAAGUGAAUGAGUUUGUGGGAAGUUAUAAAGUCAGCUUCGUUAACGUUCGCUCGAUAGCAGACCAGGUUUUCACCGUGCGAAUUUUUUUCCAAAAAUGCCGAGAAUUCCUUAUCCCAACGCACCAUCUGUUCUUCGACUUCAAGGCGGCGUACGUUAGCAUCAACCGCACAGAGCUAUGACAAAUAAUAUGAAAUCCAGUAUGACAUCGCAGUGGAGGGGCAGAAUCAUAACGUUCGGGGUCAUAAUGUCCCGGUCCUUAUGGUGCGUUUUUACGCGAAAUAACGUCCAAAAGCUUAGUGCCUUCUUUCCUAGGACCUCGCGAUGCAGUUGCAUGUUAAGACGUUAUACCACGUGAUAAUGUGCCAUAAAGUUCUGGGACAUAAUGGCCUCGGACGUUAUGAUACAGCGCCCGCAGUGGAGACAGACCCAGAGAUUCGUGGUAGCGCAAGCCUUAAAACUAAAUAUAAGAAGUCUACAAGAUUUUGACCUUGCAACAGGUCAAGGUGAUGGCGGUAAUAUUUUUGUAUGCGAUUUACACCUAUUCGGAACCGAAAAAACCGGGUCCAUCUCGCUGACCAGCAUCAACCAUCUUCUCGUUGUUCGUUGUUGCUCAUUCAUCGUCCCGUUUGGCACCACCGUCGCGCGUCGCCAUCAUCGUCGGGUCAUGUAUGAUGGCCAAACCAAGCCAGAACCCACUCCAAGUACAAAUGAUUCGUCAUCCGGGGUAAAAUUAGAGCGGCGUGCGAUGAUUCAAUCGGUUCAAAAUAAACACCAGGACCGAGGAUGAUUUUACGCUAUACGUACGUACGUAUGCAGGAUGCCUGGCUGAAGCUGUCUCGAGAGACUGGCUGGUUUUACGGUUUUGCGCAAUCAGAGCGUUGCCAAAACGUGCGCCAGAGCAAACACCGGCGCGACGACGGAGACACUGCAAAUGAUUGAUGUAAAAAUAUAUAUUUUAUUAUCCGUUUUGCGGUGUGCUUACGCGAGAUGUUGAUUAUGAGAGUGCAAGAUUCUACUGGUUUCAUAUUCUGUCAGCGUUGUUCUAAAAAGGUGGGAACGCACAUACUAGCGUACUAACGCUUAACCCGGUAGAUCUGUAAAUAAUUAUCCACUUCUUUGCACAACGUAACAACAAAAGUCAAAUCAAAGUAGAAGGGAGAAUUGCUUCUACAAUCAACACCAGUAAGAGGAAGUUCAUGAUCGCUUCUAGGCAGCGCGGGUCCGGAUCGGCGGUGGAAGAAUUCGUGUGCCCUGGAAUUUUAGUGGCGUGCACGAGGUGAAAAGGCGUCUUGCAGCUGUGAAUAGGAUUGUGUACGCCGUCCGUAACCUGCUGAAGUCCCACGAAUGGCCGACGAAUAAGACGCGUUGUAUGAGACACUGAUCCUUGCGGGUGCUCUAUACGCCCACGAGACUCAUUGUCAAAAACAGGACAGGUUGCCUCAGUUAUCGCGUUUUUCCAUUAAUAAAUUGAAUUAUUCUAAUGCGGUCCAUUUUGCUCACCCAUCGGGAAUUGCACCGACCAGUUCAAGAAUAAUGUUUAUUGAAAUCGAUAUUUCCAUGCUCCGUGAACCCUCGAAGGAGCAGACAUAGGACAUGUAAAGUGUGCAAUUCAGUAGGUCAAUGCGGAUGCAUUCAUAAUGUCGGCUUAAGCUGCCCUGUUGUUGCCGUACGUUCCGACCGACAAAUGUGUUUUUCGACAAGUGGAAUUUCAGUAUGCGGAAUAAUUCUAUAAGCUCGAUUAUAUUGCACUAAGCCUCAGCCUAUGUCUGGGCAGACUUGAGAGGCUACAUAUAUUCUACAGUGAAGGACAGGCGAGAGUAAAGUGAUUUCUCCAUAAUCUAUCAUCAGAUCGGUAUUCCAAAGCGGUGCAUGUGGAAGCUAUUAAUAAAUUACAAUCGCCUUGGCUGCACGAGCGUGAACAGUGGCGGAUGCAGUAUGGAAUCCAACAAAAUAAAUGUACAUGUUCAUUGUUCAGGUUCUAGACACCUACGUUUUUGUGGAAGUAUUGGAAAUUUUAGAAAAAAUAAUAAACUUAAUUUAUACAAAUGUUGUGUUCUACAAUUAUUUUAAAUAACACAACACGUUGGAAAAAGUUCGCUUGUUGUACACAGCAUCAGCGUGGUGCUGUCAGUAGUAGACAUACGCGCGACAGUCGGAAGGUUAAUAAAGAAGUGUUAACGCCUUGAAUUAUGCAAUUUUUGGAUAAUCUCUUGUUUUUCUACAUAUUUUUGUAAUUCUCGAAAAUACUUUCGUGGUAAGAAUAUAUUUCUUCUCUUCCUGCAUUUUUAUACACGUUUUAUAAAAAUAUACAAUAUACAUGUUUUGUUUCCCUUUUCCGAAACCGUCUCUAUUAUAUAAACAUCCUCACUGGUGUGAGAAACGUUAUCUUUAUUUCAACAUCAGAUAAACAAUUGAGUGCAUCCAGAGAGUCCAGAUGCAUGCGAUGCGUCAAAUAAAAUAAACAAAUUGUUUUGCCGGGAUGCACUUACAUUUAUUGCGUUAGAAAGAACUGGACGCUCUGUGAGAGGUGCAUUUUGCGAUUUAUCGGCCUAUGUACAUUCCAGGCGCUCGCCCCUACUCCUCUAUCUGUGACUCUGUGAGUAGAGAAUGCAUGAUAGGCUCUGUACGUACGCUUCGUAAAACAUGUGUGGAAUGUUUUAAUCAUUGGCACGUGCUUUCGUCAUUUCAACGCAGCAGUAAAAAGUGGAAACAACCAUCGUUAUGAGUUUCCGCCAAUUGGCAUAGCUACCGUCCGGUGGCGGUUAGCUCCGUUCGGAUAUUGUACACAAAACCACGCAAUUGCUACAUUUUGUAUGCAUGGAGCACACGUAUCAACACACGUCCAAAACCAACCGUUGCGUUUGAUUUCGAUGGCGGUACAUUCAAGUGGCGCGUCUAACGUCAGUAUAUCUCAGAAGGGGGUUAACUUGCAAAAACGUCAAACAGAGCUACCUAGCAGAACAGACGUGCAGGUCUUCAUUAUGAUCGGGUUAGGCAACUUGUGCGCCAGUCGGUCGCCGGGAUCACUUGAAAUUGAGCAAUUAAUUAGAUUUCAAAAUAGCAAUUAGGACAGUCCAAACGAAACACGCCUCGAGAAGAUAAUUUCGCUGUUCUAGUGCGUGGAACUCGGGUGUUUCAGUAAAACAACGCUUAAUUAGCCUCCGACGAACUGCUGCUUCAUGGCGCAACGUUGAGUGGUGUGCAAAAUUGUAUGUAUAUUUCGGGGGAGUACUACACUGCCGUGCUGCCGUUCUACGCAUAAUUGUCCCAUUUUAUUGUUAGAUAUUACGAAUCGUAGCAAUCUAUGAAUGUACUUGUCAUUAGCACGAAAUAAAUUCAAGUCAAACUUUAUCAAACACCUUCUAUAUGUUAGAUAUGUAAACAAAAAAGAGAUAUUCACAUGAGGCGCUGAAUUUCGUUAAGGACUACUUGUAUCACUCAACUUUGGGGAUGAUUUGUGAAAAAAUUCCCGUAUUUUUCACGUUUUUGAAAUGCUUAAUGUAUGAGUUGCUAUGGUAACAGCAAACUUCUCCAUUUGUGAAUUUUGUUAGAUACGGUGUUUGGUAAAGUUAGACUUGAAUUAUUAGCCGUCAAUCAGUUCAGUCGACCAACCUUACACCUCCAAAUACCCAAUAGGUUGUGGGCCCCACAGUGGUCCUGAUUGUAAAAUUCCUGGCAAAAAUUAUCAAAUCAUUCGCAUGGAAGAUUCCAGAAGCGCCAUGGAAGAAAGCAAGGUAUCAAUUGUGAAGCUGAACAAUUCCAACUACUCGGUGUAGAAAUUUAAGGCGGAUAUGCUGCUGACAAGAGAGGACAUGUGGAAGUUCAUCGAGGAUGCACCCCGGAGCCCCUAGCAGACGCCUGGCAGGGAGGUGACCGCAAAGCAAGAGCGACGAUUGUGCUGCUGGUGAAGGACCAGCAACACCUCCUGAUUCGUGAUACGAAGACGGCCAAGGAAGCAUGGGAAAAUAUCCAGAAGCAUCACUUGAAGACGUUCCUCUGCUCAAAGGUUGCGGUCCUGAAGAGUGUAAGUGUUCGCAGUUCAGUGUGGAGUGUUUUUGAGAUUUUGUGUAAAUUGUAUAUCGUGUUUAAUAUAAAAUAGUGCAGGUAGUGUUCGUAUGUGUUGUGCAGUUUUCUUCGUCAAUGAGUUGUCAGGCAAAAGUAGGAUAGUCUACCUUACCGCGCCGCCAUACCUGCAGAUUCCACAACCCACCACCAGAGGGAAAGAAGGAUCCUGUUGGUAGCCCGAAAGGGGUGGCGAUAAGGAAAAGCAAUAUGGAAGGAAAUCUUAACGGACACGAUAACUGCAGCUCAAUGUCUCGGGUCACUGCCUGAACAAUGAAGACAAUGACCUAUCUACGCUCCACUCCAUAAUGCUGGAGAGUCGUAAAAGAACCGCUAACCGAAAUGGUUGAAGUGACACCUUCUUGCUUUUAUUGAAGUGCUGUACCGGUGAAGAAAAGGUGAUGAAGUGGAAGAAAGAAGGAUCGCAGAAGGACAGCAGGUAAUUCAGUUCCUCCUUCAGCAACCUAUAUGGUCCUAAUAGGCUAAUCCGGAUCCAUAGAACCCCGCUGUUUUGGACAGAACUACGGUUCUGUAGAAGUUCAACCCCCCCCCCCCCCCCCCCCCUACGUUGAGAUGAUCCGGAGUGUUCCACGAUGACCGAGUCCGUCAACAUACUCGACCGCGGGAAGUCCAGAAGGGCCUGUGAAUGCCGCCAUCGCGUUGCUUCGCCACCCCGUAAGGCCACAGAAGAACCGACAGACACUAACCGUGCACGUCGCCAUCGUUGAAGACCUGGAGGAGUACACUGUGUGGUGGAGAGAGGUGGAAGGUAGAAGAAGAGGCCCCUAAUAGAUGAAAAGACAGGUUAGAGUAGAUUAAGAAUGUGGGAAUGUGCAGGGAGAAGAAGAGGCCGGAAAGUCCGGGAAUAAAUGUGUAAAUGUAACGUGACGUGAGUUUUUAUGUACGACAGUGCGAAUAUUCCCUGUCCGCGAAUAACUGGUCAAGAAGCAUGCCGACCCUGAGGUGUUGUUUCGGGGAGUCUCAGGAAGGCUCCCCUCUUGAGCUAGUCGGCAGUUACAAGAGAAUAUGCAACAAAAUGUACAAGGACGGGAACGACAUGCAGAACCAUUUGUUCGAGCUGGAAGAACUGUUCGGUAAGCUGUCGUGCGCUGCACUGGGGACCUAGGUGAACCGCUGAUGGUUGCACUGGUGCCGAGGAGCCUGCUUGAUUCUUUCGAUACGCUCACGACGGCGAUUCAGCUGUACUACCGCACGGCGAUCAGAACCAAAGUCUGGUGGGUGGUUUGCUGUACACUGCAGUGAAUUUAUGACUGGAUGUCUCGAUCAGUGCUUUAAUUCUCAGACAAUCAGUCAGUUAGCGCCGGGUUAGGGUUGACACUAGUUUGCCAAGUCGAAAUAUAAAAAAACGAACAAAAGACGAAAAAAGCCGCUAAAACCCAAAAAAGUUGAUUAGCAAACACCAAAUUUGCAGGGUUGUUGUCCAACAUUCUUGCAACAUGCAUCCGUCGAGCUUUGGCCACUUUCAGGACGUCGGGUUCACCGUAGAGUGCAACAAGCUCACGGUUCAUUCUUCGCCGCCGCAGUCCGUUCUUAGCACGAGUCGCUCGAAAACUCCUAGUGCUUUCGGGUCCUCCUCGAGCAUGGUGCAUGUCUCGUGUCCGUAGAGGACCACCGGUCUUAUAAGCGUCUAGUACAUGGUACAUUUGGUGCGGGGUGAAUCUUUUUUGACCGCAAUUUCUUCUGGAGCCCGUAGUAGGCACGACACACGAUGAAGCCCCUUCGUAUUUCACAGCUCGCAUUAUUGUCAGCCGUUAGCAAGGAACAGGAGGUAGACGAAUUCUACCACCUUUAAAGUAUCCCCAUUUAACGUAACAUUGCUGCCAAGGCUUGUACUGUCUCGCUCAAUUCCCCUAGCACUGAUAGGCUAUACCAGCUUGUACUUUGGUUUAGCCGCAUUCACCACCAGUCCGACUUUUGCUGCUUCACGUAUCAGGCGGGUGUACAGUUCUACCACCACCGUUGCAAAUGCUCCAGCAAUAAUAUCCAUGUCACCUACAAAACAGACAAAUCGACCGGAUUUCGUGAAGAUCGUACCCAGGCUGUUGAGCCCGGUAUUACACCUUUCAGGGCGAUGUUGAAUAGUUGGCAGGAAAUUCCAUCCCCUUGUCGCAGUCCCCGUUGAGUUUCGAAUGAACUGAAUAGUUCUCCCGAAAUCCUUACGCUGCACCUGGGUCCAGAUUUAACAAUACCUGGCAAAAAUUGCUAAAUCAUAGAAGUCUGCUAGUUUUAGCCUAAACAAAUGUAUUGGAACAUUAUUAUGCUCUCAAUUUCAUAUUUAUAACAUUCUUUUAUUAUUUGUAGAUUGUUUCGAGCGAAAUCUGUACAAAGUGACUGUUUUUCAUACAAUUUGACUAUUUACUUAGCACCAUGGUGCUUAUGUUUUGGCAGCUACAUUCUUCCUUAAUUAAUUCUAUGUAUAUACCUAAACGAUUAUUUGAACGGAAUAUCCCCGCGGGGAGUAGCGGCGAGCGAUUUGUGAUACAAUUUGAAUUUCUUUCACGGCUGUUCGAGUCCGUAUGAAGUUGAUCAUCAAUAUUAACUUCUUUUCUCGAUCAGCCUAGACAGCUGUGUAGUGUCGGUAGCGAUUGUCUCAAUUGGCUAAGAAUAACACUACGAACCGCCUGUUCCGGUGGUAAGAAUCCACCAACAGGUGACCCCUAAUUCAUGGUGUGAUGCGGCUUUAUGCUUACCGUGCCUAGGAAUGAAUAGCUAGGGGGGUCUAAUAAAAACCUAACCGCUAACGGAGCCUGUGGAGUACCAGGGCGCCCUCCACAGUAUGUAGCCCUUACUGCGCUAACCGGAGCAAUGGUGCAGUGGACCUUGUGUUUCUCCGAGACAAUCAGCUGCCCUUCUUUAGUCUCACUUGAGGCUAAAUAAGGGCGGGAUUAUGAAGAUGUUGUUAAUUAGUUUAAAUUUUCGCAUAUAUAGUUUCGCAUUAUGCGAUUUACACAGUGUAUUCUGCGUAUCCUCGCCUCUGGCGUUUUCCAAUCGAUACCGAUUUGGUUUUAUUGUUGCUGUUCUUUGUUGUGCUGUUGUUGCGAAGAGUUUAAUCUUACCUAGUUUGGGUAGUGGCUACGGCUAGGAUAGCUCAGAUCAAUCUUCAGCAUAAAAGAACAGCAACGAUCAAUCUUUGCAGACUUAUGCAAAAUGGCUCAGCUCAAGUGGCCUUGGUACAAGAACCUUACUUUCGUAAGGGAAACUUCUAUCUAGGAAACCUUGUGAACCCGGUUUUUGCUACUUUCAGUAAACAUGAAAUGGCAAACUCGCGUGUCAUGCCUCGAGCCUGUGUGCUUGUCAACAACGCAAUAGUUGCUACACUCAUCUCUGAACUAACCACCAGAGAUGUAUGUGCUAUAAUAAUUGAUAUAUCUGUUGGAAACCUCAACAGGAAAUACGUCUAUUGUUCGGUUUAUUUACCGCAUGAUGUACCAUCCCCUACGGAUGCUAUCAAACAAGUCAUCGCAUACUGUACUUUAAAAAGCCUUCCGCUAAUUGUUGGCAGUGAUGCUAAUGCUCACCAUAUCAUCUGGGGCAGCUCAGACAUUAACUUGAAAGGCUCCAGCUUGAUGGAGUACGUAAGUAGUACAGAUCUUGCAUUACUUAACAUAGGCAACUUUCAUGGCAUCUGCUAGAGAGGAAGUGUUUGCUCUAGCAGAAUUAGUCACGAUCUGACCAAUUGGCAUGUGUCAGAUGAAGAAUCUUUAUCUAACCAUCGCUAUAUCUUUUUUGAACAUUUAAAUGUUACUUCGCAAACAUUGCACAUUGGUCCACGAACCAGAUUUACGAAAAAAGAUGCAUGCAGCGCCUUCAAAUGAUUUUUUAGACAAAUAUGGUCUUCUACAAAGUUGUUCCUAAAAAUAAGGCCCUUUAUCUUUUUUGGUUUUAAAUUUCUCGUCAAAGUCGCCUAUGAACCACUUUUAGAGCUUCCAAAAACGCGCAUUUUCGUGCGCUGAGAAUGUUGCUACGUCAUUCCUUUCAAAAGAUUUUGAUGAUUUUCUAGAAAAAAAGGCACUUUUCAAGUAUUUUUCACUUGAGUUACAAAAAUAACACCCCUCUAAUUUUUUGAUAUGUUGUAUAACAACAUUUCUUAUUUUGAAUGCGGGCAAAAGAUAUUUUUUAUGUUUGCCCCAACCCGUCAUAACACCUUUUUAAAAAACUAUGAUUUUUUUAAGAAAAAUGCGACGCGUCUUCAAAUGCUCUACAAGUGUUUCUUGGGCGACUUUGAUGAAAAAUCGAAACUGAAAAAGUUAACGCCAGAAAACCGAUUUUCUUGAACCACCCUAAGCUUAUUCAGAAAAAUACCUCAAGAUCGGUAAAUUUCAAAGCUACAUAAAAAAUGUCUUGGGCAAACUUGCUCAAAAUUAUUAAAUUUACAACUUUCCCGAAGAAUGUAUACAGUUAUUCAUGCAAAUAAAAAAGUUUGGUUACCAAUUACUUUGAAAAUAUGGACCACCCUAAUUUUCAUGCCCAUUUUAAAGAGGGCGUUAUUAUAAGGGACAACUUUUUAGAAGACCAUAUUUACCUAAAAACUCAUUUGAAGGCGUUGAAUGCAGCUUUCCUCAUAAAUCUGGUUCGUGGACCACUGUGCAUUGCGUUUCAGGAAUCCUCGGUCAACAAACUGGGAUCUUUUUACUGAUUUGGUUGCGGCCAAAUUUCAUGGAUACUCACCAUCCAUUGACACUCCAAGUGAUUUAGAUGAUGCCGUUGAUACUACAACGACCUUCAUCAUGGAAGCUUUUGAAGAUGCAUGCCCUCUACGGUCUGUGAAGAUCACAAGAGGAACCCCUUAGUGGAACUCUGAUCUGGCGAAACUCAGGAAACAAUGUAGAAAGAGUUGGAACAGACGAUGUUCGGCUGGUUCGGAGGCUUUCAGGUCGGCUCACAAGGCGUACAGGAAAGCUCUCCGGUCUGCUGAACGAUCCGGCUGGAAAAACCUUUGUACAAAUGUUUCCAGCUUGAGUGAAGUCAGUCGGUUAAACAAAAUCCUUGCGAAAUCUAAGGAUUUCCGGGUGAACGAACUUCGUUUGCCAAAUGGCGAUCUGACUUCCUCUGAUGAGAAAGUUCUGGGAUGCUUAUUCAACACACACUUCCCUGGAUGUGUGGAUAUUACAUCUUCGGAUGAACCUGAUGUCUUUUCUUGUAGUCAUGAUUCUUUAGCUUUGGCUCGGAAUAUUGUAACUAUAAAUCGAUUGAGUGGGUUCUUAAUAGCUUUGCUCCUUUCAAAUCUCCUGGGGCAGAUGGGAUUUAUCCUAUUUUGCUUCAGAAGGGAUUUGAUUAUUUCAAACAUGCUUUGAAAAAACUACUUGUUUGUAGUUUUGCUACAGGGUAUAUUCCCAAAUCCUGGCGGGAUAUUACUGUAAAGUUUAUUCCAAAAGUGGGUCGUGCGUCGUAUGAUGAAGCAAAGAGUUUCAGACCUAUCAGUUUGACCUCUUUCCUUCUGAAAUGCUUAGAACGCAUUGUGGAUCAUCACAUCCGUGAUGUUCAUCUGGCCAACGUGCCUCUUCAUGUGAACCAACAUGCCUACCAAUCUGGUAAGUCCACUGUGACUCUUUUACACAAGGUUGUUUACGAUAUCGAGAAAGAAUUCGCUCAAAACCAGUCUUGUCUGGGUGUUUUCUUAGAUAUCGAGGGUGCCUUUGACAACGUGCCUUUCGAUGCCAUAUUGGAAGCCGCACGGAGUCAUGGUAUAUCUCCAAUGAUUUCCAAUUGGAUUCAUCAUAUCUAUUUGCAUUAGACAUGGAAACAUGUUGUGAAACUUCAAGAACUUUUUCAUUCUCAAAUUUCCAAUAUAUUUUCAAAGCAUUUAAAAGUGCAGUUCCUAGCGCUUCCCGUAUUAAGUUUGAUUAUUUUCGUGCAAGACUGGAGACUUCGUCAACGCAAAUUUGAAAUGCAUAGUAGAUAAUAACCUGGUAGGUGUAAGCUUUCAACAAACAUCGUUUAACAGGAGUGGCACGGCACCACGUUCUAUAUGCAUACUUAACGUACAUAUCUAUGUGUCUGACCUUUCGACUACGGACGAUAAUCUAUACGCAAACCCCAAAACGGAAACCCGAUGACGUAACCGAAAAAGCGAUGAUCGGUAUUAUUAAACACUGUCUGCAUGCGCGAUCCCACCAACAAGCCAAUAUGGUAGAAUGAUGCGGAAUGCGAAAAGGCGAGCAGACAUGGGGAGCUUAUCGAAUAUGCGCGAGGGCGUUUGCUCGCACGCAUUUUAUUGUGACUAUCGGAUGUUUACGCCUUUUUGCAUAGACACUAACAUUCCGAUGGUUUAGUUUCGAAACUGGAUAAUUUAUUAGUUGUGGAACUUGUCUGGGUGGGUCAGCGGAAGAUAGUGAUUUAUAAGGUGGAUUUGGUGUGUGCCACACUCUUGAAACAGUAUUGUUUAAAUAUGAAGAACUAUUUGGAAAUAAAUAUACGCAAUACAGUAUUACUUAAUACGUACUACAUAAUCUUGGGUGGAAUUUAUUGUUAGUCUCCUAUGAGUUAUUGGCGACAGAUUUCUCUGAAUGAUUGAACAUGCAAACAUUUUGAAAUUUAAUCUUUGAAAUUCAUAUAAAUUCAAACACUACGUGACAAACAUCAAAACUAUCUUAUUGAUCGGUUCCAUGAAGCUUUAUUUGAAUAUUCCAUCCAACUUGCUCCCAACACAUUCAUCAAUUCAAACAUAAACAGCCAUCGCUUUGAAGCUAUACUAUGUACAAUACGAUCAGUAUUAGCUUACCGAUACUCAUCAUACAUACUAAAAAUAAACAUGCAUUGCUUAUGUGAAAUGAUAAAAAUCGAAACAUCGCGAUCAACUUACGUCAACAGCGAGAGAUUUCGCUGGUAAUUUCACCACCCAGUUGGAUACAAUAAAUGCAAUGUCAACAGAAAGAAAAUACCAAGUACUUUCCCUCCGUCCUUGCCCUCGCAGAGUUGAUUCCAUUACGAGGCGCACUGAGCCUCACACGGGGAUCGAGGUCUCAAGUACCUACUGUACGUUGUCGUUCACUGAAUGCGCUGAAGUCAUCGUGAAAUCCGGCUUUCAUUCCAUAUUUGCGUUUUUGUCUCACUCGCCGCCUGGCUCCUCUUCAGUGGAGCUCUUUCGAUUGCGAUACAUACUCCAUUCGAGCAUUCGCACCACCAACACUCUGCACUGCACGUCUGUGGCUGCUCAUGGCAAUAACAACAGCAAACGGUUGACUGUCUCUGGUGUGUCACUAAACUUUGGUCCAGACCUUUUGAACGGCUACUUAUUGAGGCUAGGGAUCUUCAGACGGUCGACAUUUUUUCUGUGGGUUUCAAAAAUGUUUCAAGGCGUCAAUACUUAUUUUUUGCUUAGAAAUAUAAAAUAAUUGAAAUAUUGCCAUUGUCAUUGCUUCGACGUAUCUCUAUUGGAAAACCUACAUUUGAUUUUUGUUAUAUGCAUAAAUGUCCCAAGUAGAAAGAAAGAUUGGCAGUAGAACAUGGUCUCAAAAAUACAAUCCGUCUUUUUUUUUUGGUAUCAUGACUGUAACCCAGACUAUAGAGAAUCUCACUACUUCGAGAUAGACCACAAGACCGAAAAUGUUUUUUUUUUUAAGUGAACAUAUAGUCUUGAUAUCUCUCUUGUUCAUCAAACUGUUCCAAAAGGCGUCCCGCCAGGCCUGAGUUCAGAACCCCCUUUAGCAGACACACAGCCAAAAUCAUUUGCGUAGGUACCUUAGAAACCCGCAACUCAGGAGCCUCACAGCAGUGAGUGUCUUCACACCGCAAAGUCAACACACAACACGUUUUAUCAACAACAACACAACGGCAACCGGUUUGAAAUAAAACGUGGAAUGCUUACCCGCGAAAAGUAAACUUUAUGGGGAGGAUAGAUAAAAAAUGUAUGAAACUUAUAAGCAAACACACCAUGGUUCGGGGCCCCUUUGCACACGCAAAAUGUAUAGAGAAAUUCAAUCAUCAGUGAAUUUCCUUGGUACGUCGUCGCGGCGAGUCGUUUGGCCCAACAGCCAGAAGCCGAGCGGAUCAAGAUCGAUCGAUGACCGAGAUUGACGAUUGCAGUUUGUCAAACGCAGUUGUAGAGCUACAGACAGACAUCGAGCGAGUUAGUGAUAGGAAAGAGCUACCGUUUGUUAACGCCACUCAAUCGCAUCAAACGAAAAUGUAUGCCUGUGUUGAUUGAUUUGCUGGCUGUUAAAAUUUGGGACUAAGUGAUUCGCACCGGCAAGUGCAAUUUAAGUAAUUGAGGAGAAUUAAUAGAAUUAAAUUUUAGUUCAUUGUCGCAUUUUUAACCGCAAAUAAUAAACAAAUAAUUCUAUCACCUUAUGCUUGGCAUCCACGCACCAAUGUGAGAACCCUCUGUCAACCAACACUGCGACAUCAAUUUGUGCAGACGCAGAGAUAUAUUCAUUCGGUCUGCUGUGGAUACAAACGAUUGCAAUCAUCACUUCCUUCCCCUUCCCCACAUUGACCACCAAACUGACGUAGCUGGCGCCAUUAUUGUCGACUGAAUAUAGAAGAUCACCAAUGCUCAUAUACUGAAGAUGACUGAAGUCCCUGGCAGAUACCUCAUUGUGGUAUUCCUUUCUUGACAACAUGUUCAUAAUCCCGUAAAGAACGUAGUUAUUGGAGGAAUUUCGUCAACGGUUUAUCGCGGGAGACGUCAAUGCGGACUCCCUGAACGGUCGGAAGGAGAAUGCGCAACGCGGUAUCGGUUAAUGAGGAUCGAGAAAGCUCGCCUCGAAGGAUUUCGCAAAGAAAGUCUGCCCACAUUCGAUCCAAGAACAACCGAAUAUUCGUCGUGAUCCACCCGAAAGGGAAACGAUAGACUCGCCCUUUUCGAUACUAGAAUUGGCUUCUUUAGCGAUGUUGAGGAAAUUACAUAUUCUGAAUCUGCAUGCCAAACUGAGCCAAAAAUCAAAAUUUUCAUUAAUGUUGGUGCCUGGGAACCAGUUUGAAGUUUGUACAGGAGCGAUUUGUCGAAUCACCCCUCGUCGCAUUUUGUACUGGGCAGUUACCCAGCUGUCGAAAGCUGUUUUCUAAAAAUCUCUUUGUAAUUGAUUUAAGGUACCGAAAUAAGGUUCUAAAAAUCUGGAAAAAAAAUCAUAGUGCUCUUAUGUAUAAAAUCAAAACAUUAUUCUAAAUUUUAAAACCCAAUUCUCACUCGCACUUCUGUCAUGUAACAACUCUGCCCCACGAUCGGAUAGAAUAAAGUUCAACUAGCUCAAAUCGCCCAGACGUCGCGAAGAGGCGCUUGUUGAAUUUGUUCAAUCUAUUCUUGGAGAGCAACACUGUUCCGGAUGACUGAAGACGAGUGACCUCAGCAACUUCACGAAUUAGUUACAUGGGUCUCCAGCAGGGCUCAUGCUUGAGCCUCCUUCUUUACAACUUUUACGUCAGUGAUAUCGACGAAUAUCUCGUGGAAAAUUGCUCGCUGACAGCUUGCGGACGCUAUCAGAGGUGCAAGAUCUGCAAAGGACCACUGCAAGAUACCUUAGACAAUUUGUUUGCUUGGGUUAUAAAGCUGGGUAUCGAAUUCUCUCUGGAAAUAACUGAGUUAGCUGUCUUUUCUAGGAAGCGUGAUCCAGCAGAUCUAGUGAUUUGAUUUUUGGGUAAGGAACUCACUCAAGGUCUUUCACAUGUGUAUCUAGCGGUCCGGUUCGACUCUAAAAGCACCUGGGAAAAGCGCAUUAAAUAUCUGUAUCAGAAGUGCCAACAACGAAUCAACUUCAUGCGUACACUCACCGGAACAUGGUGGGGAACCCACCCGGAAGAUCUGAUAAAGCUUUAUCGGGCAACGAUACUGUCGGUUCUCCAAUAUGGUAGCUUUUGCUUUCAGACCGCCGCGAAAACACACAUCCUAAAGCUAGAGCGUAUGCAGUAUCGGUGUCUUCGGAUCGCAUUAGGCUGCAUGAACUCGCAAUGAGUUUGAAGGUACUAGCAGCAGUACUCCCUUAAUCAGAUCGUUUCGAGAAAUUGUCGUUAAGGUUCAUCAUUCGCUGUUACGUGCUAAAUCCAUUGGUAAUUGAAAACUUCGAAAAGCUGCUCGAACGAAUUCACUGCCGUUCUACGCCCAAUUGUCCCAUGUUAUAUGGGAAACCCAUAUAACAUGGGACAAAUAUACGUAGAACGGCAGUUCGUCAAACAUAGUUUAUGACGACGACACUACUCGUACAUUACUCUGCUGGAGGUUAACCCUUCAUCCAAUGUUCUCAACCGUGAUUGCUUCCAAGACUUCUCCAAUUCCACAUGAGGCAAGAAAUCCGUGGAAUCCCAGAUUAAGGAUUGUGGGGGCCCGGCGCCAGAGCUGAUGUGGAGGCCCCUCGGUGCGAUGAGCAAAAAAGUUUUUCUUUAUUUUUGAACAGUACUUGAGCAAAAUGAAAAAUUAAGUUAAUAUUUAGCAAGCAAAAAUGGUUUUGUGGGGGGGGGGGCGAUCCCGGACAAUGAGAAAGCGGACUCGCUCGCCAAGAUGGGCGCUAUGGGAGGCGUUAUUUAUGACCGUUAUGUCUUUGUUAGUUGACAACUAAAGUGGGAUGCAGAAAAACUAGGCAGGUGGUUACAUUCAAUUCUCCCACAGGUAUCGAAGACGGCGUGGUUCAAGAGGUUGGACAUGGGUCGAGAUUUCAUCAAGAUAAUUGUCCUGUUCAACGACGUAGGUUGAACUUGCUCGAAGUUGCUGCAUCCUACUCAUACCCAUUUGUCAACAAAUGAGAAAGAGCGGGAUGGAGCAAGUUCGAGCAAGUUCAACCUACGUCGUUGAACAGGACUAAUGUGGCGACUUAUGUCCAAUCACUGCUCUCUGCAUUGACGAAUCUAGCUUUUUAUGUCUUCUCACUUAUUCUCCCUGAUAAACACGGGAAAAAAGCGGGAUGCAAAGGGGUGCCGCGGAACCUCUUUCCACCCUUCUCUUUCUCGUGUCUGUUUAGAAGAGUGAGCCAGAAAAAAGAAAAAGCUAAAUUCACCAACGACUCCUCUCUGGGCUCACAAUUCUAUCGAAUAGGGCUCACAUAUAGCGAUCGCUUUAGCUGUGGUGCAGGCUAUCAUGAUAUCAACCGUGUUGUGUGGGAAUGUCUCGAAUACGGUAUUGCCAAAUUCGAUUUAUGUGGAUCCCUCAGGACCCGAGGGAAACCAGAAAAGGAAGACAUCGGAGAUGUGUUGGGUAAACUUGAUCUUGAGUACAUGAAGCUUGUUUACGACUUUUUGAAACAAGCUGAAGUCUUCGUUUGAUUCCCCCCUCUUGUUGUUCCACUUAUCCACCUCGUGUCUUCAUUUGAUACCUCACCCUUGCUGAUCCACUUCUCCACCUCUUACCCCUUCGUUUGUUUGUGUCGUUACAGGUUGUCGUUUGUCCACUCUACGUUUGACCAGCAGCAAAAUACACCACACCAUGCUGAAAAGUGUCAACGAAAGGCCCCCAUCAAUAUCUCCCUUCCUCAAAUACAUAUUAUUGUUUGCCCUAAGUUCGACCAAGCCGCGAGUUUUACGGUUCCCAAAACUAACAUAGUUUGAAAUAAGUUAAAUAAGUUCGAAACCUGAAAAAAGAUUCAUAUGAAUUCAGCUCCGCCAUGCAUGUUAGCGCAUGAGCCUUAAAUAAACGUUUAAAGUUGCCAUUAGACUGUUUGUCAUAAUGCCAAAUAUUCGUCAUUGUAGUCCGACAUUCAUCCAAGGUCCCCAUGAUUCACGUUAUGUUGGCCUUUUGUCGGGCUUGUUUGGCCAAAUAUUGGUCAUGUUUUGGGACUUUAAGUAAAAAAAAGCUACCUGAUUGGUUCCUUGUGUGAGUGUAGCUGGUCUAGCAAUACGGGAGUCACAUCUACGGGCGGUCAAUCAAGCACAAGCUCGGUAACCUGGCUAUCGCCUUACCUGACCCUAGCCUAUCGCCCCACAGUUUUUUGUUUUGUGGUUAAGACGACCUUGGUCAAUGAAUACCAAAUAGUGGGGCUCUUUGAAUUUGUUGACCUGCUCCAGAAAGAAACGGCGCGUGGUAAUAUGAUUAACACAUGAUCUUCCGGCAUGGAGUUCUGCCUGCUGUCACUGGAGUGGAGAGUCACGUCUGUAUUCUCCUAGUCCUAUAUCUGAAUGAGUUUAACUUUGCAGGCCGAUCAUACCUGCUUCCUUCCCUUUGUCAGCCAGCGAGUUCUUUCAGCAGCAUUUGGCUUCCUUUUCUAGUGCGGAAUAUGAUGGGAACAAGGAUGGGACUCAUUUCUGGUUACACUUGAUGUUGCUCGCUCUAUCAUGGCGUUUGCUUCUCAACACUCGCCAAACAUCCGCCAGGUUGCAUCAGUAAUCCACUAUUAUCGCUGAGUGUGCAGCUCUUGAUGGACGUCCACUACUCUUCUACGCAGCCAUCUUCUGGAACUUCGGCUGUUCGAAUUCCAAGUGUCUGAACUAAUACUUUGUAAGGAAUUCGAUAUUUGUAUGGACCCAAUUUGUUUCAUUUCUUAACGCAUCUGUCCGGUGGUGCUGCUUCCCUUACUAACAUCAACAAUUGUUCAGUAUAAUGAUUAUAAUCAAUGCAUUCUCUUACUUCAAUUUGCUACGGUUGCAUUCCGUAACCAAAUUACAAACUGUGUUUAAAGUAUGCAGCUGGUUAAUAGGUCAACCAGAAAAGUGAGAAUUGAAACUUAAAAGGGAAACACCAAGUGCCUACCUAUUGAAAUUUUGAGGAUAGGCUGUAAACUGAAUCACCCACCCGCAGAUGCGAAGCAAAUGCAAUCGAUAGAACAAAAGGCAAAUGCACCAAAUCGAACCUCACGGCGGGCAUACAAAAGUAACUAGUAUAUAGGUAGGUAAUUGGGACGAACCAUCUGUUCCGUUAGUUUAUUUGAAAGCGAUAGCAUGGGGAGGAAACAGGAGAUCAAAGAGGACUGCACUGCUGAUGCACAGCAGUCGUAUCAGCUUGCACCGCUGAGCUGGUGCAGCUUCUCCAGCAGGCACGUGCUUAACAAAUUUUCAAAACCGCUAAACAGUCUGAUUUGAGAAUCAAAACGGGGACUCCUAAUGGAACUCUUCGACGUAAUCAUCAAAUGUAGCUAGCAGUGGUGCGCUGCUGAAGAUUUAGUAUAAACGUGCAUUUCCCUUGGAGGAGAGCAGCCUGUGCACAACUCGGAUUGCUCAUCCGCUAUACGUUUCCACAUGCAUAGCCUAAUCAAGCCAUACGCAACGGAAUCAAAUCGUUUCACUUUCACGCGGAACGAAGGGAUUCUAUUUUUAGGUGCUCCAGUGUUGUUGUUACCGCUUAUUGUUUGUUCUAGGAUUUUGGAAUGCUUUGAGGAGGAAAAUAACACACAUAGAGCAACAUUAACGGCGGCUACUAUUCGAGCAACCCGCGCAGCGCUACCAUUUUGGCUUAACCACCCUUUUCCACACCGGUAGCAAUCAAAUCAGUCACCUUGAUUCGUAUCGGGAGGGCUGUCAUAUUCCCAUAUAAUUUUUAGCAGCGCAACUGUCCCGCUACUAUAUUUGGUCACCCACCCAUAGCGCUACUAUUUUGCGAGCGCAUCCAGCAGCGACCGGUAAAGUUUGCUGCAAUGAUGGAGGGCUGCCAAACGGGGUAUAGAAGCGCACCGUUAAAGGUGCUCUAAGGAACUGCUGUUGGGGUUGCUGAAAAAUUGAAUCGUUCAAAACGAAUUGGGAAGUCUGGUGUAACUCAACAUAAUUCCGGAAAUUGUAGCAGAUGCAUAUCAGGUUUUCACCUAGUUUAAUGGUAAAUAAAGGUAGAGGAUAAUUCUUCUGUUAUUUCAUAACUCUUCUUCUUUUUUGUUUGAUACCGGGUCUCAACUGAGACAGAGAUUACUUUUAAGAUUGUGUUCUUUCAUGAGCACUUCCACAUUUAUUGUCACAUUUUACCGUGGCCUUACAGCGUUUUAACUAAUUUCUGUUCAGUUUUUGCACAGACAAACAGACGUAACACUCUUAAAAUUCCCUCUGUACACCAAUUUAACGGUCAAUUUAAAAAAAUUAUAGUUGGCCAACUGCCCGCCCGUGGCGCUCGCAUCGUUUUUAUUUGAGUUUGACGUUUGCCCACUACCGCCACCUAGUUAAUGGUUGGCCAAACUCAGUCCUCUUAGCAUUGGGCGAAUAUGUUUACGUGACUAUGAAUUGAAUCGAAAAAUGUUCGAUGUGUUAUGUCUGUUUGUCUUUGGUUUUGCUUAUAAUUUGGCCAAAGAAUACUGCGCCGAACACACCAAAACAAUUUCCCGAGGGUCGAAUUUACAAGUGUGGAGGUCCGGGCAAAUGGGACUAAGCGGAGAACUAUACACUGUAAAAAUGGUUGUAUUUUUAAAAACAAUCAUAUUAUUACAAAAAUCGGAUGAGCAUGGUAAGGCUUAAUACUGAUGGAUUUUUGGGGAAAUAUUCACCAAAAAUCAUGAACACAAAUAUGAGAAAUUAAAAAAAAAAAAUAUUCCCUUGAAAUAAAAAUCUCUCCUAAAAUUCUACCAAAAAUUCAUUCCGAAUUUCUGGGAUGUAUCCCACAUUUCUGCAGAAAUUCCUUCUAAUUCGGGUUUGGAUUCGGACAAAUUAUUCCUCUUUAAAAAAUCCCUGUAAGAAUCACCAAAAGAUUUAUGAAAACUUCCUAAGAAGACUGCCUGGCAGAACCCAAGCUAGAAUGCCACGAGAAAUUCCUAGAGAGAUUCCUGCAGGUAUCACAGUAAGAAUUUCUGAAGGAGUUUUCGGAGGCACUCCUGAAUGAAUCACAGCAGGCUUUGCUUGUGGAAUCUCAGCUGGAGCUCCUGGAUUAAGAUCAAGAGAACUUCCUGGAGGAAUCCCAUAAGCGGAGAAAUCCAAGGAUAAAAUUUGUAGAGGAAUUCCUGGAGGAAACACCGAAGGAACUUUUGAAAGAAUGCCAACAGACUGGCUGGGAUCAUCCCAGCAAGAUUUUUUUUGGGAAGGAAAACUUCUUAGAAGAAUUCCGGAAGGAAGAAUAUCUGGAGGAGAUCUGUCUCAGAGAAAAAUUGCUGGCAGAUGCUUGAAGAAUCCAGCUGGAAAUCCUGGAGCAAUGCCAAGUAGAGUUCCUGCAUCUCAGGAAGAUUUCCCGAAAGUAUUGCAGCAUGUACAUAAGUAUGCCAGGAGAUAUCCCUAUAAGUAUUCCUAGAAGUACCACAGUUAGGAGGAACCCUAAUAGAAAUUGCUUGGGGAAUCCUAUCAUGAGGUGGAGGCGAGACGCUUAACCUAAGAUUCCAGUAUAUAGGGUCAAACAGAUCAAGCAGACGCCUUAGGUUAUAAGUACACAGGGUCAAGUAUUUGACAAGGAAAGAAUACAAGAAACAACAUCUGCGAAAAUUCGUACACCUGCUAAAAUAGGUAUACCUGCUCAAAUGGUAUAAGACCCUACCAUAUUUUCAUAACUUAUGGACAAACGCCUUUGAAUACCAGUUCAACAUUGCACCAGAACCAUAAAGGCGCAAAUCUCAAGAAGCAUUCUUCUAACAAAAGUGUAUUUUUUUUGUUUACUUUUAAUAAGCUUAAAAUAAGAAGAUCCGGUGCGCUGGUUCCACGGCUGGUUCAGUUGUUUGUGAGAUUUGUGCGCUCAAAAUCGUGAGAAGGUUCAAAAGUCGGCCAUUAUGACGAUCAUCUUGGGAUUCUAUCGAGCUUGUCCUUAAAGAUCCUGGACUGCCCGGAAAUUGAACCCGUGAUACUCAUAGCUCAGACAAACACACGUAACACUCUGAUAUUUUGCAUUGUACACCGAUUUAGCGGUCUAUUAAAAAAAAAUGAUAGUUGGCCAACUGAUAACUACUGGUAACAGAUAAUGACAUGAUCUCGAUUUUUUUUGUUGCAGACAAAACGGAAGCUGAAUUUGUUGCGUACUUUUCAACUCGUGAAUAAUCAAUUAUUGCUAACCCAAAGUCGAAACUGUUUGAUGAUGGAGCUUCACCAGAGUUGCAGUGUUUACCGACUCGAAGUUACCGUUCGAAAAUCGCAAUGCAAGGCUUAAAAAUCUCUAAACUCGUGGUGUACGAUGUUAAUCCCAUUAUUUUCAAGUUGGGACUAACUUAUGUCGCAUGGGUUUGUUUGUCGCAACAAAAACAGGUUGCGACAUUGUCAUUAUUGUUGCGCGAUGGUUGAAUUUUGAUUCACGGCCCGUGGCGCUCGCAUUGUUUUUGCUCGAGUUUAACGUUUGCCCACUACCGCCACCUAGUUGAUGGUCGGCCAAACUCAGUAAUUUUAGCAUUGGGCGAACAUGUUUUCGUGACUAUGAUUUGAUUCGAAAAAUGUUCGAACUGUUCGUCUGUUUGUCUGUGCUCAUAGUGCGUUUACCACUUCCACAAGUUGCGAACCUCUGAAGCACCACACGGAUAAUCCACCGCUAAUUUCAAUCAAUCCAAACACUUCCGCUAGUAACACUCUGAAUGGCAGUAUCGCGUUGUUUUUUUUACGACAGCGUGGUUAGCGAGGUGAAUAGCUAUAUCAAAACCAACGGUUCUUGAGCCUGCAUGAUCGCCCGCCAGCACUUUAGUCGCUCAUUGUGCUGCACGCUGACUGGCGCCAAACAGUUGACCUUUCCGGUGCGAUGAGAAGUGCGAUUUUUUGUCUGAUGAAGUCACAACAACCACACGGGACCUUCCGACCAAUAACGGGUUAAUUGGAUUUGUGGAAGGGUUAACUUUUGUUGAUCGCUACGCCGCAUCCAGGAAGGCAUUCCUAAUAUGGGUAUCAGCUCGACCCAACAGAGUCGUGUCGUGCGUUGGGGAUUAAGCCAUUUCGGUGGUUGUAACAAUCUCCUACGGGAGGGGCAUGAAUGACGACGGCACGCAAUAGUCAGUCGAACGAAACGCGUGAGUAGAAGCCAUUAAUGGCACACGGCCCAGAGUCGCUCUCAGAUUUUCGAUAGAGCACAUAAUUUUAGUAACUGUAUCAAGGUCACGAAUCGUCUGCUUGGCUUUGAAACUCGUUUUUCAUGUGGCUGAUGGGCGACGCCGCACAACAGCGCCACUACUCUCAACUCAACCGCUGCUGUGAGGCAGCAAGGGAGUCCCGUAAAAAAUACACGAAGACGUGCCAGUGUUGAAGAAGACCGGCUAAAUACGUUGCGCUACACAUUACGACGGGUGUAGGAUGACGAGGAAAUAGACAUUAGGUUGGGCACAGAGAAGAUAUCCCUACAAAAAUGACACACCUCGAGCGUGGUCGACCUCCGGAUGAAUGAGACGCGCGUUUCGCAAGAUAUGAUGGCGUAAGACGUACGUCUCCAAUACUUUAUGACUUUCUUAUUUUUAUUACGUUUGUGCAACGUAAAAUAUGUUGUGAAAAUUCUUCUUACAAGUGGUCUUGUAAUUACAAUUUCAAUUAUUAU